rnacentral:rRNA from 1 species
GUUAUAUGGUCAAGUGAAGAAGCGCAUACGGUGGAUGCCUUGGCAGUCAGAGGCGAUGAAAGACGUGGUAGCCUGCGAAAAGCUUCGGGGAGUCGGCAAACAGACUUUGAUCCGGAGAUCUCUGAAUGGGGGAACCCACCUAGGAUAACCUAGGUAUCUUGUACUGAAUCCAUAGGUGCAAGAGGCGAACCAGGGGAACUGAAACAUCUAAGUACCCUGAGGAAAAGAAAUCAACCGAGAUUCCCUUAGUAGUGGCGAGCGAACGGGGAUUAGCCCUUAAGCUUCAUUGAUUUUAGCGGAACGCUCUGGAAAGUGCGGCCAUAGUGGGUGAUAGCCCCGUACGCGAAAGGAUCUUUGAAGUGAAAUCGAGUAGGACGGAGCACGAGAAACUUUGUCUGAACAUGGGGGGACCAUCCUCCAAGGCUAAAUACUACUGACUGACCGAUAGUGAACCAGUACCGUGAGGGAAAGGCGAAAAGAACCCCGGAGAGGGGAGUGAAAUAGAACCUGAAACCGUAUGCGUACAAGCAGUGGGAGCCUACUUGUUAGGUGACUGCGUACCUUUUGUAUAAUGGGUCAGCGACUUAUAUUCAGUGGCAAGCUUAACCGUAUAGGGUAGGCGUAGCGAAAGCGAGUCUUAAUAGGGCGUUUAGUCGCUGGGUAUAGACCCGAAACCGGGCGAUCUAUCCAUGAGCAGGUUGAAGGUUAGGUAACACUGACUGGAGGACCGAACCCACUCCCGUUGAAAAGGUAGGGGAUGACUUGUGGAUCGGAGUGAAAGGCUAAUCAAGCUCGGAGAUAGCUGGUUCUCCUCGAAAGCUAUUUAGGUAGCGCCUCAUGUAUCACUCUGGGGGGUAGAGCACUGUUUCGGCUAGGGGGUCAUCCCGACUUACCAAACCGAUGCAAACUCCGAAUACCCAGAAGUGCCGAGCAUGGGAGACACACGGCGGGUGCUAACGUCCGUCGUGAAAAGGGAAACAACCCAGACCGCCAGCUAAGGUCCCAAAGUUGUGGUUAAGUGGUAAACGAUGUGGGAAGGCUUAGACAGCUAGGAGGUUGGCUUAGAAGCAGCCACCCUUUAAAGAAAGCGUAAUAGCUCACUAGUCGAGUCGGCCUGCGCGGAAGAUGUAACGGGGCUCAAACCACACACCGAAGCUGCGGGUGUCACGUAAGUGACGCGGUAGAGGAGCGUUCUGUAAGCCUGUGAAGGUGAGUUGAGAAGCUUGCUGGAGGUAUCAGAAGUGCGAAUGCUGACAUGAGUAACGACAAUGGGUGUGAAAAACACCCACGCCGAAAGACCAAGGGUUCCUGCGCAACGUUAAUCGACGCAGGGUUAGUCGGUUCCUAAGGCGAGGCUGAAAAGCGUAGUCGAUGGGAAACAGGUUAAUAUUCCUGUACUUCUGGUUACUGCGAUGGAGGGACGGAGAAGGCUAGGCCAGCUUGGCGUUGGUUGUCCAAGUUUAAGGUGGUAGGCUGAAAUCUUAGGUAAAUCCGGGGUUUCAAGGCCGAGAGCUGAUGACGAGUCGUCUUUUAGAUGACGAAGUGGUUGAUGCCAUGCUUCCAAGAAAAGCUUCUAAGCUUCAGGUAACCAGGAACCGUACCCCAAACCGACACAGGUGGUCGGGUAGAGAAUACCAAGGCGCUUGAGAGAACUCGGGUGAAGGAACUAGGCAAAAUGGCACCGUAACUUCGGGAGAAGGUGCGCCGGCUAGGGUGAAGGAUUUACUCCGUAAGCUCUGGCUGGUCGAAGAUACCAGGCCGCUGCGACUGUUUAUUAAAAACACAGCACUCUGCAAACACGAAAGUGGACGUAUAGGGUGUGACGCCUGCCCGGUGCCGGAAGGUUAAUUGAUGGGGUUAGCGCAAGCGAAGCUCUUGAUCGAAGCCCCGGUAAACGGCGGCCGUAACUAUAACGGUCCUAAGGUAGCGAAAUUCCUUGUCGGGUAAGUUCCGACCUGCACGAAUGGCGUAACGAUGGCGGCGCUGUCUCCACCCGAGACUCAGUGAAAUUGAAAUCGCUGUGAAGAUGCAGUGUAUCCGCGGCUAGACGGAAAGACCCCGUGAACCUUUACUGUAGCUUUGCACUGGACUUUGAGCCUGCUUGUGUAGGAUAGGUGGGAGGCUUUGAAGCGUGGACGCCAGUUCGCGUGGAGCCAUCCUUGAAAUACCACCCUGGCAUGCUUGAGGUUCUAACUCUGGUCCGUGAUCCGGAUCGAGGACAGUGUAUGGUGGGCAGUUUGACUGGGGCGGUCUCCUCCUAAAGAGUAACGGAGGAGUACGAAGGUGC